GGAGGAUACAGCUCAAGUGGUAGAGCUCAUGCUUACCAUGCAGGAGGUUCUGGGUUCAAUCCCCAAUACCUCCU
rfam:Camelus ferus unplaced genomic scaffold scaffold241, whole genome shotgun sequence.